rnacentral:rRNA from 1 species
AUUGAACGCUGGCGGCAUGCUUUACACAUGCAAGUCGAACGGCAGCGCGGGCUUCGGCCUGGCGGCGAGUGGCGAACGGGUGAGUAAUGCAUCGGAACGUGCCCAGUAGUGGGGGAUAGCCCGCCGAAAGCCGGAUUAAUACCGCAUACGACCUGAGGAUGAAAGCGGGGGACCGACAGGCCUCGCGCUAUUGGAGCGGCCGAUGUCGGAUUAGCUAGUUGGUGGGGUAAAGGCUUACCAAGGCGACGAUCCGUAGCUGGUCUGAGAGGACGACCAGCCACACUGGAACUGAGACACGGCCCAGACUCCUACGGGAGGCAGCAGUGGGGAAUAUUGGACAAUGGGGGCAACCCUGAUCCAGCCAUGCCGCGUGCGGGAAGAAGGCCUUCGGGUUGUAAACCGCUUUUGUUCGGGAAGAAAGCCUGUGGGCUAAUACCCCGGGGGGAUGACGGUACCGGAAGAAUAAGCACCGGCUAACUACGUG